rnacentral:rRNA from 1 species
CCUACGGGCGGCUGCAGUGGGGAAUAUUGCGCAAUGGGCGAAAGCCUGACGCAGCCACGCCGCGUGAGCGAUGAAGGCCUUCGGGUCGUAAAGCUCUGUGGGGAGAGACGAAGAAAGCCCGUGAAGAGCGGGCCUUGACGGUAUCUCCUUAGCAAGCACCGGCUAACUCCGUGCCAGCAGCCGCGGUAAUACGGAGGGUGCAAACGUUGCUCGGAAUCAUUGGGCGUAAAGCGCACGUAGGCGGCGAAGCAAGUUGGGUGUGAAAGCCCUGGGCUCAACCCAGGAAGUGCAUUCAAAACUGCUUCGCUUGAAUCUCGGAGGGGGUCAGAGAAUUCCCGGUGUAGAGGUGAAAUUCGUAGAUAUCGGGAGGAAUACCAGUGGCGAAGGCGCUGACCUGGACGAAGAUUGACGCUGAGGUGCGAAAGCGCGGGGAGCAAACAGGCUUAGAUACCCGUGUAGUC